rnacentral:rRNA from 1 species
UACGUAGGGGGCAAGCGUUGUCCGGAUUUAUUGGGCGUAAAGAGCGUGUAGGCGGCUUUGCAAGUCCGUUGUGAAAACUCGAGCUCAACCUCGAGACGCCGGUGGAAACUGCAAAGCUAGAGUCCGGAAGAGGAGAGUGGAAUUCCUGGUGUAGCGGUGAAAUGCGCAGAUAUCAGGAAGAACACCAAUGGCGAAAGCAGCUCUCUGGGACGGUACUGACGCUGAGACGCGAAAGCGUGGGGAGCGAACAGG